GGAGAGGUCGCAUAGUGGCCUAGUGCGCUCGCUUGGAAAGCGGGUAUACCGAAAGGUAUCGCGGGUUCGACUCCCGCCCACUCCG
rnacentral:tRNA from 1 species